GACGAACGCUGGCGGCGUGCUUAACACAUGCAAGUCGAACGGAAAGGCCCUGCUUUUGCGGGGUGCUCGAGUGGCGAACGGGUGAGUAACACGUGAGUAACCUGCCCUUGACUUUGGGAUAACUUCACGGAACUCGGGCUCAUAUCGGAUAUGAGCUCCUGCUGCAUGGUGGUGGUUGGAAAGUUUCGGCGGUUGGGGAUGGACUCGCGGCUUAUCAGCUUGUUGGUGGGGCAGUGGCUUACCAAGGCUUUGACGGGUAGCCGGCCUGAGAGGGUGACCGGCCACAUUGGGACUGAGAUACGGCGCAGACUCCUACGGGAGGCAGCAGUGGGGAAUAUUGCACAAUGGGCGGAAGCCUGAUGCAGCGACGCCGCGUGCGGAAUGACGGGCUUCGGGUGGUAAACCGCUUUCGACUGUGACGAAGAGUGAUUGACGGUAAUGGGUAAAGAAGCACCGGCUAACUACGUG
rnacentral:rRNA from 1 species